rnacentral:rRNA from 1 species
GAAUAUUGGACAAUGGGGGGAACCAUGAUCCAGCCAUGCCGCGUGCGUGAAGAAGGCUUUUUGGUUGUAAAGCCCUUAAAGCGAGGAGGAGGCUACUCCAGUUACCACCUAACGAUAGUGGAAGUUACUCGCAGAAGAAGCACCGCCCAACACUCUUCCAGGCACCGCGGUAAUCAAGAGGGUGCAAGCGUUAAUCGGAUUUACUAGGCGUAAAUCGCGCGUAGGUGGCCAAUUAAGUCAAAUUUGAAAUCCCCGAGCUUAACUUGGGAAUUGCAUUCGAUACUGGUUGGCUAGAGUAUGGGAGAGGAUCGUAGCAUUCCAGGUGUAGCGGUGAAAUGCGUAGAGAUCUGGAGGAAUACCGAUGGCGAAGGCAGCCAUCUGGCCUAAUACUGACACUGAGGUGCGAAAGCAUGGGGAGCAAAC